UACGGAGGGUGCAAGCGUUAUCCGGAUUUACUGGGUUUAAAGGGUGCGUAGGUGGGUCUGUAAGUCAGUGGUGAAAUCUCCGAGCUUAACUCGGAAACUGCCAUUGAUACUAUAGGUCUUGAAUUAUCUGGAGGUAAGCGGAAUAUGUCAUGUAGCGGUGAAAUGCUUAGAUAUGACAUAGAACACCAAUUGCGAAGGCAGCUGGCUACACAAAUAUUGACACUGAGGCACGAAAGCGUGGGGAUCAAACAGG
rnacentral:rRNA from 1 species